AUUACACCCCCAUACACAGUUUUUACCCACGAGACAUUUUCUGGAAAAACAAAAUUUUGUAUGGCGGCCAUCUUGUUUUUCCGCCAUUUUGAUUUUUUUUCACCCACAAUAGAAUUUGACCAAGAUUUAAAUAGGUUUUGUGAAAAAAGAAUCGUUCCAGGUGCGAUAGUUUCGCCAGACUGUUGGGUGUCUCCCUGAUGCGGAGCAGUUUUCCAAGAUCUGGAAGUUUUCCCAUACUCACCGGGAGGUCCCGAUCACACCCCCCAUACAUCAUUU
rnacentral:lncRNA from 1 species